UGUCUCCCUCUCCAUCUCUUCACUUAUAUUCUUCUGCCACCAUCUUGCUAAUUUUUAUUAAGUAACAGCUAUGAAUCAGAAAUGAGGCCUGGCAGUCAGAAAAUAUGGAUUCUAGUGCCGUGAGAGGUUCAAGGAAUGUUGCGGGAGUACCCAAGACCUUCAUGAUUAAGAUGUGUUCUCAGGGGAGCUGGGAGUUGACUGCAAGUAUUACAGCUCUCAAGGGACUUGCAUCUGCCUCUCCAGAAUGACACAGAGCAAACUGCAGAGCUGGACUGAGAAAAGCAUGCCUGGCAGCAACUGGCCAGUUAGCGCGGCAGACAAAAGUGGUUAGGACAAGGAUGAAGGCAGGAUCAGAGAGCUGCAAGCACAGUCACUUGAUUUUGACAGCAGCUCAAACUUCUGGGACUCCAGAAAGGAAAUAGACAUUUGGAAAGAGAUAUGACGAAAGGCUUUUCCCGUCAACUGCUCAGCAUGUGGUACUGACUUUUG